rnacentral:rRNA from 1 species
CCUACGGGAGGCUGCAGUAGGGAAUCUUUCACAAUGGGCGAAAGCCUGAUGGAGCAACGCCGCGUGCAGGAUGAAGGCCUUCGGGUUGUAAACUGCUUUUAUAAGCGAGAAAUAUGAUGGUAACUUAUGAAUCCGGAUCGGCUAACUACGUGCCAGCAGCCGCGGUCAUACGUAGGAUCCGAGCAUUAUCCGGAGUGACUGGGUGUAAAGAGUUGCGUAGGUGGCAUAAUAAGUAGCUAGUGAAAUCUGGUGGCUCAACCAUUCAGACUAUUAGCUAAACUGUUAAGCUCGAGACCGUUAGGGGUAACUGGAAUUUCUAGUGUAGGAGUGAAAUCCGUAGAUAUUAGAAGGAACACCAAUAGCGUAGGCAGGUUGCUGGGACGGGUCUGACACUAAGGCACGAAAGCGUAGGGAGCAAACGGGAUUAGAUACCCCAGUAGUC